rnacentral:tRNA from 1 species
GGGGUUUGCGAAAGUUUAGCGAAAGGGCUAAGGAGAUUAAUCAGGAGUUU